rnacentral:rRNA from 1 species
UGUUUUCAUUAAUCAAGAACGAAAGUUAGAGGUUCGAAGGCGAUCAGAUACCGCCCUAGUUCUAACCAUAAACGAUGCCAACCAGCGAUCCGCCUGAGUUCCUCAAAUGACUCGGCGGGCAGCUUCCGGGAAACCAAAGUGUUUGGGUUCCGGGGGAAGUAUGGUUGCAAAGCUGAAACUUAAAGGAAUUGACGGAAGGGCACCACCAGGAGUGGAGCCUGCGGCUUAAUUUGACU